AUCGUAAGAACAUGUGGAGCGCUUAGAAGUGAGAAUGCCGGUGUGAAUAGCGAAAGACGGGUGAGAAUCCCGUCCACCGAUUGACUAAGGUUUCCAGAGGAAGGCUCGUCCGCUCUGGGUUAGUCGGGUCCUAAGCUGAGGCCGACAGGCGUAGGCGAUGGAUAACAGGUUGAUAUUCCUGUACCACCUAUAAUCGUUUUAAUCGAUGGGGGGACGCAGUAGGAUAGGCGAAGCGUGCGAUUGGAUUGCACGUCUAAGCAGUAAGGCUGAGUAUUAGGCAAAUCCGGUACUCGUUAAGGCUGAGCUGUGAUGGGGAGAAGACAUUGUGUCUUCGAGUCGUUGAUUUCACACUGCCGAGAAAAGCCUCUAGAUAGAAAAUAGGUGCCCGUACCGCAAACCGACACAGGUAGUCAAGAUGAGAAUUCUAAGGUGAGCGAGCGAACUCUCGUUAAGGAACUCGGCAAAAUGACCCCGUAACUUCGGGAGAAGGGGUGCUCUUUAGGGUUAACGCCCAGAAGAGCCGCAGUGAAUAGGCCCAAGCGACUGUUUAUCAAAAACACAGGUCUCUGCUAAACCGUAAGGUGAUGUAUAGGGGCUGACGCCUGCCCGGUGCUGGAAGGUUAAGAGGAGUGGUUAGCUUCUGCGAAGCUACGAAUCGAAGCCCCAGUAAACGGCGGCCGUAACUAUAACGGUCCUAAGGUAGCGAAAUUCCUUGUCGGGUAAGUUCCGACCCGCACGAAAGGCGUAACGAUUUGGGCACUGUCUCAACGAGAGACUCGGUGAAAUCAUAGUACCUGUGAAGAUGCAGGUUACCCGCGACAGGACGGAAAGACCCCGUGGAGCUUUACUGUAGCCUGAUAUUGAAAUUCGGCACAGCUUGUACAGGAUAGGUAGGAGCCUUUGAAACGUGAGCGCUAGCUUACGUGGAGGCGCUGGUGGGAUACUACCCUAGCUGUGUUGGCUUUCUAACCCGCACCACUUAUCGUGGUGGGAGACAGUGUCAGGCGGGCAGUUUGACUGGGGCGGUCGCCUCCUAAAAGGUAACGGAGGCGCUCAAAGGUUCCCUCAGAAUGGUUGGAAAUCAUUCAUAGAGUGUAAAGGCAUAAGGGAGCUUGACUGCGAGACCUACAAGUCGAGCAGGGUCGAAAGACGGACUUAGUGAUCCGGUGGUUCCGCAUGGAAGGGCCAUCGCUCAACGGAUAAAAGCUACCCCGGGGAUAACAGGCUUAUCUCCCCCAAGAGUUCACAUCGACGGGGAGGUUUGGCACCUCGAUGUCGGCUCAUCGCAUCCUGGGGCUGUAGUCGGUCCCAAGGGUUGGGCUGUUCGCCCAUUAAAGCGGUACGCGAGCUGGGUUCAGAACGUCGUGAGACAGUUCGGUCCCUAUCCGUCGUGGGCGUAGGAAAUUUGAGAGGAGCUGUCCUUAGUACGAGAGGACCGGGAUGGACAUACCUCUGGUGUACCAGUUGUCGUGCCAACGGCAUAGCUGGGUAGCUAUGUGUGGACGGGAUAAGUGCUGAAAGCAUCUAAGCAUGAAGCCCCCCUCAAGAUGAGAUUUCCCAACUUCGGUUAUAAGAUCCCUCAAAGAUGAUGAGGUUAAUAGGUUCGAGGUGGAAGCAUGGUGACAUGUGGAGCUGACGAAUACUAAUCGAUCGAAGACUUAAUCAA
rnacentral:rRNA from 1 species